ACUUCCUGUCUUGCUUGGGGUCGAUGACUUAAAGGCCGGUGUAGGUUAUCGUGUGACUGGGAAUCGGUUAACGACAAUCCGCAAGACAAGCAGAGAAUGCGUCGCUCAUUAUUGCUGACAGUGAGCACGGCACUGUGUGCUGCAUUGGCUCUAGGGAUGCCAUAUCCGGUGGACGACUGGGAGUUCUACGGCGGCAAGAAAGAGUUUCCGGUGUUUGAAGAGGUGAAAGUGAUCAACAAUUUUUAUCCCGUACUCUUCGCAAUCCUAGCACUACCAUUUAUCCUGAGACGCCCGAGCACCGUUGCUCGCGCCAGUAACGCGACUCUCGCGGCCAACGGUAUUACUGUCAUCCGGGAACCAGUUUGCUGCUGAUGGCAGAUUCAGACGAUACUUCUGCAGACACCAUUUGUUUGCUGCCGUAUUCAGGGCCGCCGAAUAUGUAUCCUUGUACUGCUAUACGAUUAGUUAAUAUAUGAGAAAACCUGUUCAGGUAAAUAAAAGAGCAACUUAAGCACGUUUGUCGUUUUGCACCGGAUAUUCGCAUAUUAAUUUACAACAUUUAGAUUUCUGUUUUUCAAUGAAUAGAUAAAA